UACGUAGGGUGCAAGCGUUGUCCGGAAUUAUUGGGCGUAAAGAGCUCGUAGGCGGUUUGUUGCGUCGGCUGUGAAAUCCCGAGGCUCAACCUCGGGUCUGCAGUCGAUACGAGCAAACUAGAGUGUUGCAGGGGAGACUGGAAUUCCUGGUGUAGCGGUGAAAUGCGCAGAUAUCAGGAGGAACACCGGUGGCGAAGGCGGGUCUCUGGGCAACAACUGACGCUGGAGGAGCGAAAGCCGUUGGGGAGCGAACAGG
rnacentral:rRNA from 1 species